GUAACGGUGAGCGAAUUAGGAACAACCCAGUUUAAGAAUCGAGCGGCCUUGUUAACCGA
rnacentral:rRNA from 1 species